ensembl:lncRNA
UGCUGGUUGUGGUGGUGCUGCUGCUGGCAGUGCUGUUGCUGCUGGUGGUGACAUUAUGCCCAGGCUCCUAUGUCACCUGGAGCAGCAGGUGCCAGCAGGUUCCUGGGGGCCUCACUCUCUCCUGCGUGUGACCGGUCACCUCUCUGGCAGCUUAGGACAGUGUUUACCCAAGUCAUAACUGCUGCAGCAUAUUGCCUCCACUACCCUCGCCUACCCUAGCCGAAACACACACACAAACAAACACACACACACACACACACACACGCGCGCACACUCCCACAGACACACACACACACACACACACAGGCACAGGCGCACAUACAAGAAGUCUGGGGAUUUUUCCUUUGUUCUGUUGUCUUUUUUGUUUGCCUCUCAGAGUGGCUGUAGACAAACAGGGUUGAUUCCAGGGUUGAAUCCAGGAAUGAUUCCAGUGUUGAUUCCAGGUUGAUUCCAGGGUUGAUUCCAGGAAUGAUUCCAGGGUUGAUCCAGGGUUGAUUCCAGGGUUGAUUCCAGGAAUGAUUCCAGGGUGAUCCAGGGUUGAUUCCGGGUUGAUUCCAGGGUGUUCUCUAAAGACAUCCAUGUCUCUUGGGUGAUGCAAUCCAGAGGAAAUAAUAUAUAUGGAAAUGGGAACUUUUACAACGUCUCACACGUAUUAUGAUUUCCCUGCAGUGUUUAUUUAUGUUUGGAGAAGAGAAAAAGGAGACCAGAUUUUUCUCCUCAGGAUCAAAUCAUGGAAUGAAUGCAUUGCUUCUUCUUUUUCUACUUUAAAUGACAACAAUAUUAAAACCCUGAGACUUCAGAAUAAUGAGUCUGAAUAUAUCUAAGAGGGAGAAAAAGCUGUUGAAUCCCUUUGGGGUCUUUGGGAUUUCCAACUCUUGAAUGUGCCUACUGAGAACCUCCUCGCGGUCCCCUCCCCCUUUCUGCCUCCCCCUCUCCCCCUUCUGCCUCCCCCUCUCCCCCUUACUGUCCUUCACACCCGCCACCUCCCCACUUGCUGAAACUGCCACUGGACACCCCCCACCC